rnacentral:RNase_P_RNA from 1 species
CGAGCCGUGCGGACGGCCGCGUGAGGAUCCUUCGGGACCCUCCCGAGGAACGUCCGGGCUCCACAGGGCAGGGUGGUGGCUAACGGCCACCCGGGGUGACCCGCGGGACAGUGCCACAGAAAACAGACCGCCCGGGACCUCGGUCCCGGGUAAGGGUGAAACGGCUG